rnacentral:rRNA from 1 species
UACAGAGGGCGCGAGCGUUGUCCGGAAUCACUGGGCGUAAAGGGCGCGUAGGCGGCUUGGUAAGUAGGGGGUGAAAUCUCAUGGCUCAACUGUGAGGCUGCCUUCUAGACUGCUGAGCUGGAGCACAGUAGAGGCGAGUGGAAGUCACGGUGUAGCGGUGGAAUGCGUAGAGAUCGGGAAGAACAUCGGUGGCGAAGGCGGCUCGCCGGGCUGUUGCUGACGCUGAGGCGCGAAAGCGUGGGGAGCAAACAGG